rnacentral:rRNA from 1 species
CCUACGGGCGGCUGCAGUGGGGAAUAUUGGACAAUGGGCGCAAGCCUGAUCCAGCCAUGCCGCGUGAGUGAUGAAGGCCCUAGGGUUGUAAAGCUCUUUCGCCAGGGACGAUAAUGACGGUACCUGGAUAAGAAGCCCCGGCUAACUUCGUGCCAGCAGCCGCGGUAAUACGAAGGGGGCUAGCGUUGUUCGGAAUCACUGGGCGUAAAGCGCACGUAGGCGGAUCUUUAAGUCAGGGGUGAAAUCCCGAGGCUCAACCUCGGAACUGCCUUUGAUACUGGAGGUCUCGAGUUCGGGAGAGGUGAGUGGAACUGCGAGUGUAGAGGUGAAAUUCGUAGAUAUUCGCAAGAACACCAGUGGCGAAGGCGGCUCACUGGCCCGAUACUGACGCUGAGGUGCGAAAGCGUGGGGAGCAAACAGGAUUAGAUACCCCGGUAGUC